CUGGCCCAGGGCUGGGGCUGGGGCUGCCGGUGUUCCAGCCUGGCGGCCUCCGUGAAGAUGAAUGUGAGGCUCUGCGCCCCUCGGUUGCUGCUUCUUUUCCUCACACGGUUUGGCUCCCAUGGGGCCCUCCGCAAGCUGGGCAUCUAUGUUGGCCUUCAGGUGGUGCUGGGGCUGCUCUUCCUGCUGGAGAAGCCCACUGGCUACCUGUCUCGCUCCUUUGACCUUGGCCGCCAGUUUCUAUUCUGCUGGACAGUGAACUGGCGCUUCCUCCCAGGGGCUCUCUGCCUGCACUGUGCCUUCCACCUGGCCCUGCUAGCCACCCACCUCACCUUGCUCUUGCUGUUUACCCUCUACUGGUGGCACAGGAUGGGGGAAUGUGUCUUGUCCCUGCUGAAGGAUCCCUCCAAAAGGAAGGCUCCACCCCAGCCCCUCACACCCAGCCAGAUCGUUUCUACCCUCUUCACCUCUAACUUCACUGGCAUCUGCUUCAGCCACCCCCUCCACUACUAGUUCUACAUCUGGUAUUUCCACACACUGCCCCACCUCCUGGGGGCCAGGACUGCACACUGGCUCACACACCUGCUCAGGUUGCUGGGGCUGGGGCUCAUGGAGCUCUCCUGGAACACACACCCCUCCACAUCCUGCAGCUCUGCUGCCCAGCAUGUGUGCCAUGCUGUCCUCUUGCUGCAGCUCUGGCUGGGCCCGCAGCUGUUCCCCAAGAGCGUCCAACACAGCAAGAAAGUUCCCUGAAAUCCACCCCUUUCCCUCCAGUGCACACUCAGGACCUGGGGAUAGACUCUGCCCUUCCAAAUAAACCUUGCCAAGUCCAA